UGUGCACUCUAUGUACUCACUACCUGAAACAUGCCGGACACUAUACCGCAGUGUACCAGGGCUUCUUAGCUAAUUAAUGAACGUGUUCUGUAGUUACAGUUAUAUUGUUAUCACAAAAUGCUAGUAUGCUUAUUACACCCCUCGGAACGGAUGGUCCAUCGACCAUAUUACUCCUCUCCCCACGCCUGAAUCUAGCCUUACUCGCCACCCGCGUAUAAUGCUGUCAUAGUCAGGCAUAAUACUUAACACCUCUGUGUGCAUCUCUUCCCACAUGAAGUGGCCUAGUUGAAACGUGCCCUUGCAUAUCUGACCAGCCACACUCACCUAGGCGGUAGUACA